GGGCCUGGUCAACAGUGGUCCAGAAGCUGAGGCCUGGUUGGGGGUCAUCCAGCAGCUGAGGCCUGGUCAUCUGGGCCCAGCAUUUGGGGCCUGAUCAGCAGGGGUCAGAUCAGUGAGGCCUAGUCAGUGAGGUGUAGAUGUAGGGGCCUGGAUGGACGUGGAGGAAGACGCAGCUACCCUACUUGCGUAGCAGCAGUGGGCAUCAUUGCCCAGUGUGAGCAGUGCGACGUAGCUGCCACUCAUCAGCGCCCUGGAAGUAAAGAGAAGACGUCAGGAGAUGAGAGACACAGAAAAAUGGCUCCAGGUGCUUCUCAACUGGCAGUGAUAUAGGAGCAGCAAGGAGAGGAAGUAAUGACGCCCUCCUCCCAGACUUGCCCCAAAGUCCCCCGGAGCUUGGUGGUGUCCCGGGACGGUCCUCCCAGGAAAUAUUUUGAACAAGUUGCUGAAGUGCCUGAUGGACGUGGCUCUCGUCACGAAAUGAGUUUGGAUCCGAGAAGCCCUCUUCUUCAUCAGAAAUGGAGCCUCAUCAAUGAAGUAAGCAGGCAGCUGCAUUCUGGAGGGCUAGCAUGUACCGAAGGCACACAACCUCCAGAGGUGACAGAGUCAAGUCCUGGCGUGCCUGAGGCUAUCCAGGGGAACACGCGGGACAGACAGCACCCUCAGACUGUCCCCAUGACCCUCUGCUCCACUCUGAGGGGCAGGACACCAUGAGACCUCUCAGACACAGAGUCCACCCUCGACAUGACCCGGGGGAAAGGCAGGAGUGUGCUCCCUGAAGGGGACCCAUCUCUGCAAGCCCACAGCCCUACCUGCGGCAUCCACAGCCUCAGAGAGCAGCGGGUCCCCUUACCCCCGAACUCCCUCCAAGUGCAUCAGGACAACAAGCCUUGAGCCCUGGAGACAAGAGAAUCAGUAUCCCUGGCCCAGGGAGGAUUCCAGGAGAGGACACAGGCAGGAGCCCUGGCCCAGAGCCAGAACCAAGAGUCCAGCCAGCGAAACUGGAGCUAGGGUCCCCAGCACCCAGGCCUCUGCGAGCAUCCCCCAACAGCAAGCCCCUCUGCAAGGUAGACGGGUUGGCCCACCCCAGGCUGUCCAGCUCCAGCAGCCUUGCAGGCAGCCCCUCCAGAAAAAGAGCCUGGUCCUCCCCCACCCUGCUCCCCACAGGCUGUCCCUGAGCCUGAGGCCCAGAGGCACAAGAGGACUUCUGUAGAGCCCAGGGGAGCAUGCUGUUCUCUUGGGGCCCCUGAGGGCUCAAGGUGUGGCCAGGCUGUCCCCAACUCAGGACAGACCAUGGGCUGUCCCGGGUACCUCCUCUGGAACUCCCUGCCCAAGCUCCGCCAUGGACCUGGACGUCAGGGGCUUGUGGUUUAACUCUGAAUAGGGAUUCUGGACCUUACAUGUGUGCCCUGGACAACCCCAGAACCAUGGGGUGGGGACCGACCCAGCAAGCCCACUGGGGCCCUGAAACCCGGCCCUGCCGGGCACUAUGAUAAUAACCAAGAGGCAAGUCCAGAGACAUCCACUUUGCCCAGUGGCACCUGCAUCCAACUUCUCAGCAGGCAGUGACUGGCAUGGUGUGGGGGCAGCCGGGGCAGCACCUGGCCAGCACCUGGCCAGCUGCCCAGUAGCCCCUGAUGGCUCCAGUGCCUCUGGACCUCAUUUUCUACUUUCUACGGGGAAACCUGCUCCCUCAGAGGCCACCAGAGGGAAGAGUGAGCAAGGCGUUUCUGCAGCCCCGACCAGCCAGCGGCAUGUCCUGUGGCCUCUGACUCAACCUAUGAGACAGAGCUCUGAUCCCAGGGCACACUUCGCAGGACACAGGGCCCGACCUCAACCAGAGCCCUGUGAAGGGAUGACCACAUGGGGGACCGUGGCACUGCAUACCUGGGCAAUGUACUUCUCAUUGGAGAAUCCAGGCAAGAUCUUGAAGCAGGUGCAUGAGGUCCUGAGCCUGUGCAGCAAACAGCACUCAUCUGGGCCUGGCACGAAGGGGUCUACAGAGCCACGGCCACCGCAGCCUCUUCCCGGCCCCAUCUGUGCAGUGCAAGUGAUCCACGCCUGCUCCUAAGCCCAGCCCAGCAAGCAGCAGCAGCCCGGGUCCCCCGGCCUGCCAGGCCAAUUUACUGCCCAGAGGCUUCGAGGCCCUGCCCGCUGUACCCUCCACCACCUGGAAGCUGCCUCCUGACGCCUUCCAGCCACUGCUGCAGCCACAACAGGUGUCGCGGCCAGUGCAGGCUUUCCAGACAGUGGGGGCGCCCAGCAGCCGUUGCCUCAGCAGCUCUUUGGUGGCAGCCAGGCCAACAACGGCAGCAAUGAUGACAGCUCCACACUGGUGGACAGGCUGGAUGCGCACCUGGUGCGCACCUGGUGGUCCUCAAAGGCUCAUUAUAAAUUUGAGAUCAUGAGAUUAUACCAUUUGCCUUCUUGCUUUUUGAAGUACGAGUAUUUUUAUGCACACUUUGUAGACCUCAAAAUCCAUGAAGGGUCUCAAAGAAGCCGGCUGGAUGGAGAUCAGGGUGAUUUACAUUCCACCUGUAGUCUGUUUGCAGACACAAAGAGCAGCCUUGCAGCUUUGUGCCUUUAGACUCUUGGUUUUGCAUUUCUCCCCGCUCCCUUCUUCCUUCCAGUAAGCCGCAACUUUUCUGAUUGAAAGGGUGCAAGGCUAACACACAGAAUGACUAACUCAGGAUCACAUACUGGCAGUGGGAGAGGCGGGAGGAGCAGCUGCCAUCAAUUGCCACGGCCAAGUGGAUGAUAGGAUAGAUGCUGGCGCAUGCGGAGGAGGCAGACGCAACGCUCAUCUCUGAUAAUGAUGUCUGUUCCCUUAGAGGCGGCUAGAGCAUCGCCUCUUCACGCAAAUGUCUUGAAACUCAGCUUGAAGAUUUCAGCAAACGUGUCUUACAGCGAAGAGAAGAGGGAGUCAGUCCAUCGGGAUUAAAAAUAUAGAGGCAGUGACAACACACACUCGGCUUCAGUUCUUAGGAGAGUUUUGGUUUUGAUUUUUUUUUUUUUUUGGAGAAGAUUUUUUUUUAAUAGAUCUACACUGUUAACUGAGACUCUGUUGAGAUUCACUGGUUUACUUAAAAACUUCUCAGGGAUGUCUAUAAAUUUCAUUGUUAUAUGUCAUGAAAACUGGUGUGGGCGGAUCUGUUGGUUGAAAUAAUUUCUACUGUUUCAAAUACUGAAGGCAGGAAUAAUUGGUUUAUACUGUGUUUUAAAUAAAAGUAUUACUGGUAAGUCCCCCAGGACAUUAAACCUUAAAAAUCA
rnacentral:lncRNA from 1 species